CAGUAGCCACGGUAAUACGUAGGUCCCGAGCGUUGUCCGGAUUUAUUGGGCGUAAAGCGAGCGCAGGCGGUUAGAUAAGUCUGAAGUUAAAGGCUGUGGCUUAACCAUAGUACGCUUUGGAAACUGUUUAACUUGAGUGCAAGAGGGGAGAGUGGAAUUCCAUGUGUAGCGGUGAAAUGCGUAGAUAUAUGGAGGAACACCGGUAGCGAAAGCGGCUCUCUGGCUUGUAACUGACGCUGAGGCUCGAAAGCGUGGGGAGCAAACAGGAUUAGAUACCCCUGUAGUCCCUGUCUCUUAUACC
rnacentral:rRNA from 1 species